GCCUGUGUUGCUCAGUGGUUAGAGUGUUGGCCCAUGCACCAUAGGGUCGCGGGUUUGAUUCCCAGCCAAGGGCA
rnacentral:tRNA from 1 species